GAUGAACGCUAGCGGCAGGCCUAACACAUGCAAGUCGAGGGAGAAGCCCUUCGGGGCAGAAACCGGCGCACGGGUGCGUAACGCGUAUGCAACCUACCUUUCACAGGGGGAUAGCCCGAAGAAAUUUGGAUUAAUACCCCAUAAUAUUAUUGGAUGGCAUCAUUUGAUAAUUAAAAUUACGAUGGUGAAAGAUGGGCAUGCGUCCUAUUAGCUAGUUGGAGUGGUAACGGCACCCCAAGGCUACGAUAGGUAGGGGUCCUGAGAGGGAGAUCCCCCACACUGGUACUGAGACAGGGACCAGACUCCUACGGGAGGCAGCAGUGAGGAAUAUUGGUCAAUGGUCGGAAGACUGAACCAGCCAUGCCGCGUGCAGGAAGAAUGCCUUAUGGGUUGUAAACUGCUUUUAUAUGGGAAGAAUAAGGAGUACGCGUACUUUGANGACGNUNCCA
rnacentral:rRNA from 1 species